UACGUAGGGUGCAAGCGUUGUCCGGAAUUAUUGGGCGUAAAGAGCUCGUAGGCGGUCUGUCGCGUCGAAUGUGAAAACCCGGGGCUCAACCCCGGGCCUGCAUUCGAUACGGGCAGACUAGAGUUCGGUAGGGGAGACUGGAAUUCCUGGUGUAGCGGUGAAAUGCGCAGAUAUCAGGAGGAACACCGGUGGCGAAGGCGGGUCUCUGGGCCGAUACUGACGCUGAGGAGCGAAAGCGUGGGGAGCGAGCAGG
rnacentral:rRNA from 1 species